rnacentral:rRNA from 1 species
CCUACGGGUGGCAGCAGUGAGGAAUAUUGGUCAAUGGGGGCGAGCCUGCACCAGCCAAGUCGCGUGAGGGAGGACGGCUCUAUGGGUUGUAAACCUCUUUUGCCGGGGAGCAACUGGCGCCACGUGUGGCGUCACUGAGAGUACCCGGAGAAAAAGCAUCGGCUAACACCGUGCCAGCAGCCGCGGUAAUACGGGGGAUGCGAGCGUUAUCCGGAUUUAUUGGGUUUAAAGGGUGCGUAGGCGGAUCGUUAAGUCAGUGGUCAAAUUGAGGGGCUCAACCCCUUCCCGCCAGUGAAACUGGCGAUCUUGAGUGGAAGAGAGGUAUGCGGAAUGCGUGGUGUAGCGGUGAAAUGCAUAGAUAUCACGCAGAACCCCGGUUGCGAAGGCAGCAUGCCGGCUUCCGACUGACGCUGAAGCACGAAAGCGUGGGGAUCGAACAGGAUUAGAUACCCUGGUAGUC